CGAAGUAUAGCUUAAUGUAAAGCCCCUUGUUUACGCCAAGGAAAUGUUUAGUCACUAAAACUAUUUCGUG
rnacentral:tRNA from 1 species